GACGAACGCUGGCGGCGCGCUUAACACAUGCAAGUCGAACGGAAAGGCCCUGCUUUUGUGGGGUGCUCGAGUGGCGAACGGGUGAGUAACACGUGAGUAACCUGCCCUUGACUUUGGGAUAACUUCAGGAAACUGGGGCUAAUACCGGAUAGGAGCUCCUGCUGCAUGGUGGGGGUUGGAAAGUUUCGGCGGUUGGGGAUGGACUCGCGGCUUAUCAGCUUGUUGGUGGGGUAGUGGCUUACCAAGGCUUUGACGGGAAGCCGGCCUGAGAGGGUGACCGGCCACAUUGGGACUGAGAUACGGCCCAGACUCCUACGGGAGGCAGCAGUGGGGAAUAUUGCACAAUGGGCGGAAGCCUGAUGCAGCAACGCCGCGUGCGGGAUGACGGCCUUCGGGUUGUAAACCGCUUUCGCCUGUGACGAAGCGUGAGUGACGGUAAUGGGUAAAGAAGCACCGGCUAACUACGUG
rnacentral:rRNA from 1 species